AUUAAAUGCUCAAGUAUUUGUUUUCAAGAAAAUAGAAGUUCUCCGGACUUAGCAAAGUGAAUAAUUAAGUUUUACAGAGUAGUGAAGCCGAGGUAGAACUAAGAAAAUCAUGUAAGACAAGACUAAGGACAUAGGUGCUAUACCAUAGGGUACAUGCAUUCCUUCCAAGGAGAAAUAGUUCAAGUACUAAUUAGCGUGCUACGCUAUUUAUUUUUCAAAGGAUAAAUUGCUCAAGGGCAAGUGAGGUCCAAGCGAAUAAUCAAAUUGAAGAAUAAGCAUAUCAGGUUGAACGUGUACGAGGAGGCGAAGGUGUUGGGACAAGACUUUUAAAUAAGUAGUUAGGUAACCCAAAGUAGCAUGUCUUCAUACGUGCUAUUUUGUCUUGGACUCUUCCGCUGCAAAUCUAGAAUUAUGUGCUAGAAAGCUAUGAACUUAGUCUUGAUACUCUGAACACGUUUUGACUAUGAACCCAUAUGCCUUUGAUACUAUUGAUUUAAGUGAUUUCAUCCUUUUA